GGUAAAAUGGCUGAGGUAUAGGCGAUAAAUUGUAAAUUUAUUGACGAAUUAUAUAAAUUCUUUUAUCA
rnacentral:tRNA from 1 species